CUUAUCAGCUUUUCCUUAUUUUGUUUGACUCCUGCUCUCCCCGUCUCCUCCUCGCCUCACUCUUCUCCUGCACCAAGCAGCUCGAUUUAGGGCUUCACCAUUUCUCUUCUAAUCAAGUUCUCUAUUUCUCUCCCUAUAUUCUGAAUCUAGGUCUCCUCUCGGCGCCUCCACCUAAGCCCCUCUGCAAAAGGAAGCUAGGAGGUGCAGCAACUGGAAGUCGGAUUUCACUCACGUCGCUGCAAUUAGAUCAAGUUCUGGCUGAUUUGAUCUGAGCACGCACAUAUUGUUUUUCGUGGUUUUUUCCUCCUCCCCUCCUAGAAAUUUGACCUCAUCGUCCAAGUAUAAAUGCUGAUGUGGAGCUACUUAAACAAGGUCCCUUUUCAGUUAUUAAAACUCAAUGUUACCUGUUUUCAUUUCCAGUUCUUAAGUCUUCUAUUUGUUUGCUUGCUGCAAUUAUUCAACUUAUGCCGCUAUAAUAUUUGUUUCCUUCUGUUUUGUCAUCUAUAUUAAUUACCAUUUAGAUCAUGUGAAUGACUACUUUCAUGUAUAUUUCGAAUAAUGAGCAGUUUAUUGCUGUUAAUCUUUUGAUCAUUGUAUAUGUUGCUAAUAUACCUUCUCAAAUAACUUACAUGUAAACAUUGAUAUAUAAAACUUAUUUAUAUGUUAAUAGUAUGGUUUCUUUACUUUUGAGAUUGGUUGAACAACAACAUUUUCUACUUUCUAGAGUUCAUCCUCUUUAUUUUAGCCCAGGCCGACUCACUGCAUCAUGCUCGAAGCUCUUCAACUUUUUCACACAAAUUGCUCAAACAUUCCUGCUCUCAAACAUCUUAGAUCCCUCAUUCAACCUUCUGGCAUCAACGCCCCAAAGGUAUAUUUCUCUCAUUGCUUUCAGAAUUCAGUGUGUGUGUAUAUAUCAAUGUAUUAAAAGCGUGAGGCGUGGGUGAGGUGUCCGAGACGAAGCCCGGCCUAGGCGUGAGGCGAAGCCUCACGGGAUUUAAUUUUAUAUACAUAUACAUGUUUUAUAUAUUAUACAUAUAAUUGUAUAAAAAUAAUACUAUGUAAAAUAAACAUCCAUUCUCAAUUUUUCAUUCAAAUCCAUAGUCAUUCAAAAGAUAAUAUCAUCUAAAUUCAUCAUUCAAAGGUAAUAUCAUCCAAAUUCAUCAUUCAAAAGGUAAUACAAACAAAGAAAACAAUGAACAUUCGAUGCAUGCAUACAGUUAAUGAACCAACAAUUUAUUAAUUAAUUUAUAUACCAACAAUUUCCAACAAUUUAUUAAUUAAUUUAUAUACCCCUGUAGUCCCGACUACUUAGGCCUAACAAUUUCCAACCUACUAGCACCUUCCACUAAAUUUAUAGCCUAACCUUCCCCAGAAAAUGCAGAGGCAGAUCAAUAAAUUUAUAGCCUAAACAAGGCAGCGCGCAGAGGCAGCACAUAGAGGUAGAUUAAUAACUUUUCUGUCUAACUAUUAACCCCUCUAUUAUAGCAAAACCUUCCCCAGAAAACUAAAUCCCUAAUUUCAGAAUUUCAAAAACCCUAACCCUUGGGAUCUUGCUGACGACGCUGGGGCUGGUGUGACGGCGCUGAGGUGAUGGCGGUGUGGCGACGAUGUUGCUCCAAGCGGCGGCGUGGCGACCAAACAGGUGUUCUGGGCUUCUGGGCUUCUGGCGCGCGGGAGAAGGCAGAAGGCAGAGGUAGACAAAGGCGUUCGAAUUCGAAGAUGUUACAGUAACAACUACAAAUACAAGUUGAGAGAAAGAUCAUAUUCCUUUUGUGGUGCAGCUGGAGUUUGUUAUCGUAAGUGGUGCUUUUAGUUGUAUGGCCAUAUGAAGCUGCAGAUGCAAAUAUUUCUUAAGGUACAUGAUGAUCCUUCUAACGCUCCAGUUUGAUGGUCCAACUCAAUGGGUGAGUAAUGCCGUUUACAAAAACCAGUGUUAUAAAAAACUCGCCUCGGGGCGUGCCUAAGCGGCCUUGGAGGCGGGACGGCAACAAUUUUGCCUCUGUUUUCUGGGAGUGGGCAGAAACUCACCUAGACUUCGUCAGAGUGCGCCUGAGGCGUUUGACUGGGCGUUCCUAGUACCCUUCAGCAACCCAAAUCUUGCUUGAAAUUUGAAGUUUUCUGGAAACCUAGUUUUGUUUCUGGGUUGCAGCGGUGUCUUCACAAAGAAGACGAUCGCCCGAAGAAGAAGAACGAUUGUUUUUUUUAUUUUUUUAUAAAGUCUUGGCCCUAAACGAUACCGUUUUGGCCAAGCCUUUUAAUGUUUUGGGUAAAAUAUUGUUUACUACCCUCAUGUUUCGUGGUUUUCAACAUUUAGUACAUCAAGUUUUUUUCGUCUCAGAGUCAUACCCAAAGUGUAAAUUUUGGGACAGUCUCAUA